AUGAAUAGAAGAGAGAUUAUUGUUAUAUUCACUGAGAUUGAACAAUUUAUAGAAGAGAAGUUCUCUAACUACUACAGCGCCCAGCUCCUACAGAGAACAGUGGCUAUCCAUUCUAACAAACUUGGAUAUUGUCUAAAAUGCCCUCAACCUACCCACCACCCCUCUAUUAAAGCAACACACUAUAAUAGAAAUGGUUAUCUGAUUCUCUCACUAAGCAGGCUACUGGAGCAGCAAAGGAACCUUCUACUCCUUGAUUCCCUUCCUCACUCUCCGGGUACACACCGCCAACUGUAUGUUAGGAUAGAUGGAAUGUGA